rnacentral:rRNA from 1 species
GAUGAACGCUGGCGGCGUGCCUAAUACAUGCAAGUCGAGCGAAUGGAUUAAGAGCUUGCUCUUAUGAAGUUAGCGGCGGACGGGUGAGUAACACGUGGGUAACCUGCCCAUAAGACUGGGAUAACUCCGGGAAACCGGGGCUAAUACCGGAUAACAUUUUGAACCGCAUGGUUCGAAAUUGAAAGGCGGCUUCGGCUGUCACUUAUGGAUGGACCCGCGUCGCAUUAGCUAGUUGGUGAGGUAACGGCUCACCAAGGCAACGAUGCGUAGCCGACCUGAGAGGGUGAUCGGCCAAACUGGGACUGAGACAAGGCCCAGACUCCUACGGGAGGCAGCAGUAGGGAAUCUUCCGGAAUGGACGAAAGUCUGACGGAGCAACGCCGCGUGAGUGAUGAAGGCUUUCGGGUCGUAAAACUCUGUUGUUAGGGAAGAACAAGUGCUAGUUGAAUAAGCUGGCACCUUGACGGUACCUAACCAGAAAGCCACGGCUAACUACGUGCCAGCCGCCGCGGUAA